rnacentral:lncRNA from 1 species
AGAUACCUUAUCUGUCUUCAAGUAGGAUAACUAAAUACAAAAAUAAUGAUACAAGAUAGUCUAUCAUAACAUGACUAUAGAUACACAUAAGAAAAGACACUUUUACUGUAAAAAUAGGAUAUAAAGAUAAUACUGAGAUCAUGUAAUCUUAGUAUUCAGGGAUUUUAGAAGUCUUUGAAUCUACCUCUCAAUGCAGAAAUCCUUUUAAGAAUUCCAGACAGGUUAUUUUUUAGCCUUAGUUUGAAAUCUUGUAAGAAUGAAUGGACUCUGUCACAAGACAGUUCAUUGUAUUGUUGGACAGCUCUAAUAUUUAGAAGUCUCUAACAUUAAAAGGGGGGACGAGUGUAGAGUUUGUAUUUAGGUGGCCUGUUUCAUUGGCUCUUUAGAAUUGAGACAAAUCAAAUGAGCUAUUAAAAGCACAUGAGUUAAGGUUCUAAUUCUGCAUUAAUCUUUGUCCCUACUCCUGGAAUUAUUAGUACUCCCACUACAGGAUAUAUUUAAUCUCAUCUCCUAAAUGAAUUUUGAAAAUUCACCUAGAAGCAGCUAUAUAUAAAUAUCCAAGAUGAAAAUGCAUGUAUGAUACUUAGGUAUCUGUGGGGAAAACUAAUUACAAUUUGCCUGAAGUGUUUUUAAAUAUUUUAGAUCUUAAAAGUCGAGCUUGAAAAAUCUAUCAUAUAGGUAGACUUCACUGUUGGAUAGUUACAAUUGUGCAUUUAGAAAAGGUCAGGGAACCAUAAGUACCCCAGCAAAUACGUAACUUCGUUUUCCUGAAAUUCCGUAAUGUCUCGCAGAUUUCUUACAAUGUAGUUCUUAACCCAAGGGUAAACAAGAUUGAUUUCCACAAGUGUCUAUAACGUAUAGGUGGAGAGAAUCAUACAUCAUAUAGGAAUCCCGGAAACUUGCUCAACCCCCUUACUAAAGGGAGACUUGAUGACCAUGGUCUCUCAGAAGAAAUGCAUUAAAUGAAUACAGUCAUUAACUAAAUCCUAUAAGUUGUCCAACAGCUACAUAUGUGCAGUUGGAGAUUUCUGUGGCUUUACUGACAGCAAAGUAAAUCAGUAACAUAAAUGCUCAUGUCAGCCUUUUGGGAGAGUGACCAAACUACAUUAUUAGUAAGUAUAGGAGUCAGGAGAUCUGACUUGUAGCUCCAGUUCUGCCACUAGCUAUGUGGGUCUUUGGGCAGGUCACUUCACUGCUCUGGGCUUCAGGAAUCCAAUAUGUAAAACAGAUCAGACUAGUUAUUUAUAAGGUCCCUUCUGCCUCUAAAAAUUUUAUGGAUUCUCUGAAAACAUCUGCCUUCAUCUUUGCUAGUAUGACAGUAAAAGUCAUGGUGGCAUUUAAAAUAUUUAGGAAAUUAGAGAGCUUUAUACCUAAUAUUUUUAUUCUUUCUGGCAACAAGAAACUCAUUUUACUUAGCUUCAUCAAUAGUUUCCUCUCUUUUCUGAAUUAUGAAUGAUUUAUGAUGAAAUAUGGAAAGCUAAUUUCCCCCUGGUUUCUUGUUUUGUGUGAAUAAAUGAUCCUCUCAGGAUUUCCAUAUUAAUAACAAGUUCCCCCUGACACAGCACUCACCAUAAAAUUUUCAUUGUACUGUAACAACAACUUGAGACAAAACAAAGAUACGCUUGGUAUGUUUGUUUCAGAGAAGCAAGAGAGACAUGGCCAAAAGCUACAUCAACUAUAAAAACAUCAUCCCAAUACAAAUUCAGAAGUGCUCAAUUCACACUAAAAAGCAGACUACCAGUAAAAGAGCUUUUUCUUUUUCCUUGAUAAUUAUUAUAUGGCAAUAAGAAAAGCCUUCUGACGUUAAGUUGGUACGUUAAGUUGGUUUAUUUCUUGGCAUGGCUCUUGUGCUUGGUAACUCUGCAUUGAACACCAACAAAAACAGACAAACUUGAAAGUUGCAAGUAGCUGGCUUGUGACUUUGUUCUGAGAAAGGAAAUACUUUAAAAUUACAUUAUCCAGCAGAGGAACCUAAUUAUACUUUCCAUUUCUAGUCUCCCUCUUCUGAGAGGAAGGGUUUAGUUUGCUUCCUUAACUCGACUUACAUUAAACUCUAUAAGAGUGGGGUCUUUGGAAAGGAUGGUACUGAGGCCAGCAUGGUAGGGCUGUGAAGGAAGAAGGAAGUUCAGCUAAAACUUCAAAUUUUUUUUUUUUUUAACAGAGUCUAGCUGUGUCACCCAGGCUGGAGUGCAGUGGUGUGGUUUCAGUUCACUGCAGCUUCCACCUCCCAGUUCAAGCGAUUCUUGUGCUUCAGUCUUCUGAGUGGGACUACAGACGCAUGCCACCAUGCUCAUUUAUUCUUUUGUAUUUUUAGUAGAGACAGGGUUUCUCCAUGUUAGCUAGGCUGGUUUCAAACUCCUGGCCUCAAGUGAUCUGCCUGCCUUGGCCUCCCAAAGUACUGGAAUUACAGGCGGGAGCCACCGCACCUGGACCCUUCAACUUGAUUUGGAAUACACCCAUGCCACAUUGAUUAGCAGAAAUUUUUAAAAUUUUAAAUAAUAUACAAGGCUGUUGAGAGUGGGGAAAGUGGUGUUUGAAUUUACUGUGGUGGAGUCCUAUUGUCCUUUAAUGAGGAAGUUUGGUAGUGUGUAUCAAAAGCCUUCAAAAAGUGCAUCUCUUUGGGGAUAGCAAUUAUAGGAAUUUUUCUUAGGGAAAAAUACGGGAUAGGUUGAAAAAGAUAUUUAUUGUAAUGUUAUUUGUAAAUGUGAAAAAAUCAAUUAUGAAAAAAAACUUACUGUCUUCAACAAGUGGUGCUGGGGCAACUGAGUAGUCACAUGUAAAAUAAUGAAAUUGGGCCAUGAAAAGGAAUGAAGUCUUGACACAUGUUGCAACAUGCAUGAAGCACGAAACAUUAUCCUAAGUGAAAUAAGUCUGACACAAACAGGAUAAAUAUUAUUUCACUUAUAUGAAAUAUUUAGAAUAGACAAAUUCAUAAGGACAAAAAAUAGAUUACAGGUUACCAGGGACUAGAGGGAGGGAGGAAUGGGGAGUUAUUAACGGGUACAGAGUUUCUGUUUGGGGUGAUAAAAAAAGGUUUGGGCUGGGCACAGUGGCUCACGCCUAUAAUCCCAGCACUUUGGGAGGCUGAGG